UGUUUUUUCUCUCUCUCUCUCUUUCCUUCCUUGUACAACAGUUUGGACCUGUGAGAGGAGUAAGAAUUCAGGAAAGCGUCUAGUGAUGCUCAUGAAGUGUGAUGGUGGAGGUGGUGUUAAAAGGUGUUCCUUCUAUUGUCAUGGAGCCAUUUCAUUCCCAAGAAACCCUCCUGGCUUGUAGCUCAGUAGAUGCUGGAAUUCAAAGCUCCUCUUGAUGUCACAGAAGUCAGCACAACUCUCACUCCCAAUGUUUGAUACCAGGGGGAAAAAAAGACUUCCAAGGAAUAAUGUGGUGUUUCCAGCUUGUAUAGUCCCACCAAAACAAGCAGCUAUGCAAGAUUGCUUUCCAGCUUCAAACUGUGAUGUGUGGAGGAAAUAAAUUCCUGAUGUGUUGCUGGUAAGUAAUGAUGUCUGCAGGUCCAUUUUAAGGCAUGACCCAGAAUUCCCUAUUAUGCAAUUAGGUUUGUGUAUUUCCAGUUGCACUUCUUCUAUAUCUUUUUAAAACCUUCUGUAAGGCAUCCUGAC
rnacentral:lncRNA from 1 species